UGCUCAGCAACUUCCAUCCAUACCUCCUCGUGGUACUGGCCGGGGUACGAGUAACCUUGUGUAAAAUCGAGUAACCAACCCCCAGUGGGAAAUUUGGUCGUAUGCUGUCAGGGAAGG
rnacentral:ribozyme from 1 species